rnacentral:rRNA from 1 species
UGGGGAAUUGUUCGCAAUGGGCGCAAGCCUGACGACGCAACGCCGCGUGGAGGAUGAAGAUUUUCGGAUCGUAAACUCCUGUCGAGCGGGAAGAAUAGCUACGGCGUAAACAUCGCCGAAGCCUGACGGUACCGCUAAAGGAAGCCCCGGCUAACUCCGUGCCAGCAGCCGCGGUAAUACGGGGGGGGCAAGCGUUGUUCGGAAUUACUGGGCGUAAAGGGCUCGUAGGCGGCCAACUAAGUCGGACGUGAAAUCCCCAGGCUCAACCUGGGAACUGCGUCCGAUACUGGAUGGCUUGAAUUCGGGAGAGGGAUGCAGAAUUCCAGGUGUAGCGGUGAAAUGCGUAGAUAUCUGGAGGAAUACCGGUGGCGAAGGCGGCAUCCUGGACCGACAUUGACGCUGAGGAGCGAAAGCUAGGGGAGCAAA